rnacentral:rRNA from 1 species
AUUGAACGCUGGCGGCAGGCCUAACACAUGCAAGUCGAACGAGUGGUGGACGGGUGAGUAAUGUCUGGGAAACUGCCUGAUGGAGGGGGAUAACUACUGGAAACGGUAGCUAAUACCGCAUACCAUCAGAUGUGCCCAGAUGUGAUUAGCUAGUAGGUGGGGUAAUGGCUCCCCUAGGCGACGAGCCUUAGCUGGUCUGAGAGGAUGACCAGACACACUGGAACUGCGACACGGUCCAGACUCCUACUGUAGGCAGCAGUGGGGAAUCUUGCACAAUGGGCGCAAGCCUGAUGCAGCCAUGCCGCGUGUGUGAAGAAGGCCUUCGGGUUGGAAAGCACUGUCAGCGAGGAGGCGUUACUCGCAGAAGAAGCACCGGCUAACUCCGUGCCAGCAGCCGCGGUAAUAC